UUGGCGGUCCUUCAACGUCGAGUAAUCCUUGCUCAAAUAUCUACAAGGGCACCAGGGCCUUUUCCGAGCCUGAGACUAGAGCCGUGCUGGUCGCUAAUCUGCAAAUAAUGAAGAAAUAUGGGCGUGAAAUGUUCCCUCUCCACUUGAGCUUCCACUCCUACGGUCAAAUGAUCCUCCGGCCCUAUUCACAUACACUGGUGCCACCUCCUAAUGUCCGAAAUUUGGAUGCGUUGGGCAAUGUUAUGUUGGCAAGUCUAAGGAGCUCAGGAUUCUCUUAUCGUUAUGGAACCAGUGCCGACAUUUUGUAUGCGGUGGGUGGAGCCUCGGCCGAUUGGGCUUAUCACUUUGGGGUUCCGUACACGUAUAUCAUUGAACUCCCACCACUGAAUUCAUUCAUAUAUACGCCUUCCAACAUCCAGCAAACUUGCGAGCAAAUUUGGAACAUGCUAGUGGCAAUGACUGGCCACUUAAAAGUCCAAGGUUACUAACACACCGAACGGGAAGAGUGGUUGACCUUGGACCCCGUUUGAUCCCUUGUAGGCUGGCAAAAGAUGACCCUUCAGCCAUUGUUGCCGGAAUAAGUUGUAAAAUGAUGAGAGCAAUGGAUGGGGAUAUUAGGAUAUUGUAUUAUAAUGUUUAAUAACUUAUAUUCCAAAAUAUGUUUUUUAAAAUAAGGAAAUAAUUCGACCUUUACAUUAACUAGAUCAAUGUCCAUUGACUUGUCAAGCUCAGGCUUGGAUUCAAAAACGAUA